UCUCCGUUGGUGAACCAGCGGAGGGAUCAUUGUCGAGUUUAUAACUCCCAAACCCUAUGUGAACUUACCACUUGUUGCUUCGGCGCGCGCUUCGGCGCCGCCGAGGACACUUAAACUCUUUGUUUUUAUAAGCAUUUCUGAGUGGCCGAAAGGCAAAAUACAAAAGAAUCAAAACUUUCAACAACGGAUCUCUUGGUUCUG
rnacentral:misc_RNA from 1 species